CUGGGAGCUACAAUCCUGAGCUGCUAGUAAUCAGCCAUCCUGGAUUUCUCUCCUGGUCACAGUUCCCUGAAAAGAAACUUUGGAUCUUGAGAUGAAAAAAGAUCUAUUAGGUCAUCUUGUCCAUCUUACCGCCAGCAGAGAAUUGCUCCCGACAGUAAAGAAGUUAACUUAUUGACAGCACUCUUUAAGCAGCAAUUUACCAGGGAUUCCCAACCUCCAGGCCAUUGAAAAGUACUGGAGCCAUGGAACCAGACCACACAGCAGGAAGUGAGCAGCAGGCAAGAGACCAUUACGGCCUGAAUUUCACCUCCUGUCAGGUAAGAGGUGCCACUAGAUUCUCAUAGAAGCAUGAACCCUAUUUUGACCUGCAUGUGCAAAGGAUCUAGAUUGCACAUUCCUCAUGAGAAUUUAAUGUCUGAUGAUCUGAGGUGGAACAGUUUCAUCCCAAAACCAUUCCCUCCCAACCCUCACCCACCCCAGUCUGUGGAAAAAUUGUCUACCAUUAAACCUGGCCGUGGUGCCAAAUGUUGGGGAUGUAUGUUCUAUAUGAAGAAUGAUCUAGAAGAAAAAAGCAAAAAUGACUACAAUUUCAUGUCUUAGAUUGAGCUAAUAUCAGCAAGUAAUGCAACAAAUUAAAAGAAGAAGGAGACAAAAAGUACUUAAUUUCAUUUUAUGCAUGGUGAGUGUGAGGUUCUUAGGAAGAUACCUAGAGACAGAUUUCUUGUGGAUGUUGUAAUAUGGAACUUAAAAGAAGAAAAGAUAUAAAUUUAGGAGUUGCCAUCAGGUAAGAAAGAAAUGACGAUGUGAGAGAUUUCAGGUAGCUUACAACAAAGCAUUUCCUUGAAAUAUUCCAGAUCAAGUUUUGUAGUAUAUUAAUAAGUAUUCAGCUACAAAAGAAUAACACAUGGAGGCUAUACUGACAAUUUCAGUAACUGACAGGCUUUCAUAAUUUUUUAAAAGAUUAGCCAUAACGUAUUCAAAAGUCAAAAAUUCAGGAAGAUUUCUUCCAAUUUAUUUUCCUUUUUCAAGGAGGAAAUAAUUAUUCUUAUGUCACUGAUCAUGCUUUUGGUGACUAAUAUGACUUGGUGGGCCUAUUUUAUUUGGAAGAAGGAUAAAAUAUGCCAUUGUUCUUUAUUUAUUUCAAAGUGCAUAUGUAUUUUAACGGCAUUUUAUGUUCAAGCAUGGAAGCAUUUCCAUGUUAGCUGACUGUGCAGGGGAGGUGAAGUCAGUUAAACUCUUGGAUUAGACGUGAACUGUCAACAGAGAGUAAAUAGGGCCCCCUCUGCCCAGGGGCCAAUAACUGAUAUAAGCAAUUAGCACCUACUUCCACAUGUGGAUUAGUAGGUUUCUUAGCAUAACUGAAAACAGCCUCACUAAUUCAUGGUAGAAAGUGGAAAGAUGUGCCAACUACUGUAUGUGCUACUGUAUGUGCUUAAUGAGUGUUUGAGCAGAAUAAAAGGUGGGCAUCUUUAACAAGUAUAUCACCUUUCAUAGCGUAUGAUCACUGAAACAAAGAAAACUACAUUUUACACGUUCUCAGGCAGGCAUUAGAUUCAUAUUUUAGGUUGACAAUAAAAUCAAGGAGAUAGCAUGUCAUAAUUCAAGAUUUUUGAGAUAAAGGAGUUAUGUUAUAAUGCUAUUUUUAAUAUUUUGUUUCUUCUUUUCUUUUAAAAACCAUAUUAUAUUUUCUAAUACAAACUUUUGUAAACUCUAGUAGGAAUACCUAAUAUUAAAUGUGAGCAUAUCAUUUAUGCUCUGGCAUAACUUACAGAUACUAAGCAACAACUCAGGAAAUACAUGUCUAUAUUAAUUCUUUUCAGAGAGAAAAAUAUAUUUUUUAACUUUUUUAUGUAUUGUAAUUUGAGAGAUAUAUAAAUAUCACCUUGCACUUGGCUGGGUGGGGUGGCUCAUGCCUGUAACCCCAGCACUUUGGGAGGCCAAGGCCUCCUGAGGUCAGGAGGUCGAAACCAGCCUGGCCGACAUGGUG